GAGCCCAAACUUUAACUUUGGUC
rnacentral:siRNA from 1 species